UCCUACGGGGCGCAGCAGUGGGGAAUAUUGCACAAUGGGGGGAACCCUGAUGCAGCAAUGCCGCGUGGGUGAAGAAGUACUCCGGUACGUAAAGCCCUGUCAGCAGGGAAGAAAAUGACGGUACCUGACUAAGAAGCCCCGGCUAACUACGUGCCAGCAGCCGCGGUAAUACGUAGGGGGCGAGCGUUAUCCGGAUUUACUGGGUGUAAAGGGAGCGCAGGCGGCGGGGCAAGUCAGAUGUGAAAACCCGGGGCCCAACCCCGGGACUGCACUUGAAACUGCGAUGCUGGAGUGCCGGAGAGGCA
rnacentral:rRNA from 1 species